rnacentral:tRNA from 1 species
GCCUGGCUGGCUUAGCCAGUGGAGCAUGUGACUCUUGAUCUUGGAGUUGUGAGUUCAAGCCUCAUGUUGGGUG